rnacentral:rRNA from 1 species
GUACACGUAGGUAAUCUACCUUCGGGUGGGGAAUAACCCCGGGAAACCGGGGCUAAUACCGCAUAAUGCAGCGGCACCUAAUGGUGACAGUUGUUAAAGCGGGGGAUCGCAAGAUCUCGCGCCUGAAGAGGAGCCUGCGGCGGAUUAGCUAGUUGGCAGGGUAACGGCCUACCAAGGCGACGAUCCGUAGCCGGCCUGAGAGGGCGGUCGGCCACACUGACACUGACAUACGGGUCAGACUCCUACGGGAGGCAGCAGUCGGGAAUUUUGGGCAAUGGGCGAAAGCCUGACCCAGCAACGCCGCGUGAAGGAUGAAAUCCCUCGGGAUGUAAACUUCGCAAGAACGGGAAGAAUAAGUUUGUGCUAACACCACAAGCGAUGACGGUACUGUUUGUAAGCUCCGGCUAACUCCGUGCCAGCAGCCGCGGUAAUACGGGGGGAGCAAGCGUUGUUCGGAUUUACUGGGCGUAAAGGGCGCGUAGGCGGCCUCCGCAAGUCAGUUGUGAAAUCUCCGAGCUUANCUCGAAANGGUCAACUGAUACUGCGGGGCUAGAAGUGCGGAAGGGGCAACUGGAAUUCUUGGUGUAGCGGUGAAAUGCGUAGAUAUCAAGAGGAACACCUGCGGCGAAGGCGGGUUGCUGGGCCGACACUGACGCUGAGGCGCGAAAGCUAGGGGAGCGAACGGGAUUAGAUACCCCGGUAGUCCUAGCCUUAAACGAUGAAUGCUUGGUGUCUGGGGUUAUAUAGUCCCCGGGUGCCGUCGCUAACGCUUUAAGCAUUCCGCCUGGGGAGUACGGUCGCAAGACUGAAACUCAAAGGAAUUGACGGGGACCCGCACAAGCGGUGGAGCAUGUGGUUUAAUUCGACGCAACGCGAAGAACCUUACCUGGGCUAGANUGCCUCUGACAGCCCCAGAGAUG